AUUGAACGCUGGCGGAAUGCUUUACACAUGCAAGUCGAACGGCAGCACGGACUUCGGUCUGGUGGCGAGUGGCGAACGGGUGAGUAAUGUAUCGGAACGUGCCCAGUCGUGGGGGAUAACGUAGUGAAAGUUACGCUAAUACCGCAUACGAUCUAUGGAUGAAAGCGGGGGAUCGCAAGACCUCGCGCGAUUGGAGCGGCCGAUAUCAGAUUAGGUAGUUGGUGGGGUAAAGGCCCACCAAGCCAACGAUCUGUAGCUGGUCUGAGAGGACGACCAGCCACACUGGAACUGAGACACGGUCCAGACUCCUACGGGAGGCAGCAGUGGGGAAUUUUAGACAAUGGGCGAAAGCCUGAUCCAGCCAUUCCGCGUGCAGGAUGAAGGCCCUCGGGUUGUAAACUGCUUUUGUACAGAACGAAAAGGUUUCUACUAAUACUAGGAGCUCAUGACGGUACUGUAAGAAUAAGCACCGGCUAACUACGUGCCAGCCGCCGCGGUAA
rnacentral:rRNA from 1 species